UUCACCAUGUUGGCCAGCCCGGUCUUGAACUCCGUCAGCCUCCCAAAGUGCUAGGAUUAACAGGCGUGAGCCGGCACGCCCGGCCUCCCCGCUGAAUCCUUUCUUCAUUUUAUCAUAAUCCUUCUAAAUACACUUUCGGGAACUUUAAAAGAUGCCUACCACCAUUUGUCUCUCAUGAAGAUGUGAACUGCGACUGGAAACAGCUCAGUCUCUCACAGGGAAAGCACAAUGACACAGAAGGAAAUAUAGAAGUCCCCAAAUUAGGAAUCUUGGAUUUUAGACCCAGUGUUCCCUUAACUGCUUAAAGUGUGACCUCAAAUAGGAUCUCGCUGAUGCCCUGGAUACUGCCACAAGGGAUUCGCGUGGGCUGGAGUGCAGUAGCACCAUCACAGCUCACUGCAGCUGCAGGAUCACAGUUCAUUGCCCCUUCAACUUCCUGGCCUCAAGCCAUCCUUCUGCCUUGGCCUCCUGAGUAGCUUGGACUACUGGUGCUAGCCACCAUGCCCAGGAGGAUGAAAUUUAACCACAUCAAAGAAACCUACAGCUCUGAUACUCUCAGAAAAAAUAAGACUCAACACAAAGAGAGUAAAAAGAGUUAUUCUGUCAACGAAGGGUCUUGACCGAAUAAUGUAUACAUCAGAUCUUUUCAUCUUGCACUUCUUGGACACUGUGAUUCAAAAGGGAGAUUAUUUGUGUCAGUAAAGAAGUAUCCAUAAUGAUAAAACACAAGUACUUCAAAGAACAACCUGUGCUUCUCAAAAGGAAAAUAGUUUGGAUCCAUUUACUUUUCUCCUCUACUUCACAUUCUAAAUGACUGAGAAAAUGUCUUCUCGUUUUCAAUACAACCCAUGGGAAAUCAUACUCAAAUAAGUAGUAACUGAAUGAACUAAUCUGGAAAAGUGGUCCUCAAUUUGUUUCUGUAAUAUCAGCUAUCACAAUACUGCCUUGAUAUUUCAUACAAUUCUGCAGAGUAUAAAAAAGCAAAAGCCUCUAAAAGUUGGUACUAGAAUGUACUACACGCUCAAUAUAGACCACAAAAUGGAUCAGACAUGAAGCUUAGUAUUGUCUGUGUGCACAGUGUUUAAAUAUUCCCUUGUUUUAAAAGUGCCAGUGUUUGUUAAGUAACUUAAAAUAUUUGCCACAUGUAGCUUAUUUUUUUUACUUUUUAUUAUAUUUUUGUCAUAGGUAAAAAAGUGAA